CUUCGCUGCUCACGGCGGCGAAGAAUGUGAUUGGGAAACAAGGAUUUAGCGCCCUAGUGCCUGUCUCGUUUCCGGCUCCACA
rnacentral:sRNA from 20 species